AUACGUAGGUGACAAGCGUUAUCCGGAUUUACUGGGCGUAAAGGGCGUGUAGGCGGUCUUGCAAGUCAGAAGUGAAAUUCCUGAGCUCAACUCGGGCGCUGCUUCUGAAACUGCAGGACUUGAGUGCUGGAGGGGAUAGCGGAAUUCCUAGUGGAGCGGUAAAAUGCGCAGAUAUUAGGAAGAACACCGGUGGCGAAGGCGGCUAUCUGGACAGUAACGGACGGUGAGGCGCGAAAGCGUGGGGAGCAAACAGGAUUAGAUCCCCUGGUAGUCCACGCCGUAACCGAUGAAUACUAGGUGUAGGGGGUAUCGACUCCCUCUGUGCCGCAGUUAACACAAUAAGUACCCCGCCUGGGGAGUACGGCCGCAAGGCUUAAACUCAAAUGAAUUGACGGGG
rnacentral:rRNA from 1 species